AUUGAACGCUGGCGGCAUGCCUAACACAUGCAAGUCGAACGGUAACAGGAAGAAGUUUGCUUCUUUGCUUACGCGUGGCGGACGGGAGAGUAAUGUCUGGGAAACUGCCUGAUGGCUAGGGUUAACUACUGGAAACGGUAGCUAAUACCGCAUAACGUCGCAAGACCAAAGAGGGGGACCUUCGGGCCUCUUGCCAUCGGCUGUGCCCAGAUUGGAUUAGCCAGUAGGUGGGGUAACGGCUCACCUAGGCGACGAUCCCUAGCUGGUCUGAGAGGAUGACCAGCCACACUGGAACUGAGACACGGUCCAGACUCCUACGGGAGGCAGCAGUGGGGAAUAUUGCACAAUGGGCGCAAGCCUGAUGCAGCCAUGCCGCGUGUAUGAAGAAGGCCUUCGGGUUGUAAAGUACUUUCAGCGGGGAGGAAGGAAGUAAAGUUAAUACCUUUGCUUAUUGACGUUACCCGAAGAAGAAGCACCGGCUAACUCCGUG
rnacentral:rRNA from 1 species